rnacentral:rRNA from 1 species
UGGAAGUAAAAAUCGUAACAAGGUCUCCGUUGGUGAACCAGCGGAGGGAUCAUUACAGAGUUAUCCAACUCCCAAACCCAUGUGAACUUAUCUCUUUGUUGCCUCGGCGCAAGCUACCCGGGACCUCGCGCCCCGGGCGGCCCGCCGGCGGACAAACCAAAACUCUUGUUAUCUUAGUUGAUUAUCUGAGUGUCUUAUUUAAUAAGUCAAAACUUUCAACAACGGAUCUCUUGGUUCUGGCAUCGAUGAAGAACGCAGCGAAAUGCGAUAAGUAAUGUGAAUUGCAGAAUUCAGUGAAUCAUCGAAUCUUUGAACGCACAUUGCGCCCAUUAGUAUUCUAGUGGGCAUGCCUGUUCGAGCGUCAUUUCAACCCCUAAGCACAGCUUAUUGUUGGGAACCUACGGCUUCGUAGUUCCUCAAAGACAUUGGCGGAGUGGCAGUGGUCCUCUGAGCGUAGUAAUCUUUUAUCUCGCUUCUGUUAGGUGCUGCCCCCCCGGCCGUAAAACCCCCAAUUUUUUCUGGUGACCUCGGAUCAGGUAGAAACCCAACUC